rnacentral:rRNA from 1 species
AACGAAUGCUAAUACCUGAUAUUAUGAUUUUAAGGCAUCUUAGAAUUAUGAAAGCUAUACGCGCUGUGAGAGAGCUUUGCGUCCCAUUAGCUAGUUGGAGAGGUAACGGCUCACCAAGGCGAUGAUGGGUAGCCGGCCUGAGAGGGUGAACGGCCACAAGGGGACUGAGACACGGCCCUUACUCCUACGGGAGGCAGCAGUGGGGAAUAUUGGACAAUGGACCAAGAGUCUGAUCCAGCAAUUCUGUGUGCACGAUGACGUUUUUCGGAAUGUAAAGUGCUUUCAGUUGGGAAGAAAAAAAUGACGGUACCAACAGAAGAAGUGACGGCUAAACA